GACGAACCACACAAACGUUAUUCGGAAUUACUGGGCUUAAAGGGUGCGUAGGCGGCGCAGAAAGUAGGGUGUGAAAUCCCUCGGCUCAACCGAGGAACUGCGCCCUAAACUACUGUGCUCGAGGGAGGUAGAGGUGAGCGGAACUUAGGGUGGAGCGGUGAAAUGCGUUGAUAUCCUAAGGAACACCGGUGGCGAAAGCGGCUCACUGGACCUCUUCUGACGCUGAGGCGCGAAAGCUAGGGGAGCAAACGGG
rnacentral:rRNA from 1 species